AGGAAGGAAGGUAGCCAUUACAGACUGAUCGGUGAAAAGCUACCGAAGCCUGGUGACACCAUACACCGUAGGACUGGACAAAACAAAAACAGUGUUGAUAAAAAAUAUAUAUAUAUUUAUAUUAAAUGAGUAAUAACAAUAACAAAAUGGAGAACGAAAGCAAAUAUCUUCCUGAACUGCUUGCAGAAAAAGACAGCUUGGAUUCGUCGUUUACCCAUGCAAUGAAACUUGUAACUGCAGAAAUUGAGCGGAUUCAGAAGGGCGAGCCAAAGAAAGAGGAAGGAGAGACCUACCUGGACCUUUUCACUGCAAAGAACGUGAAGCUGAAGGAGAGGGUGCUCAUUCCAGUCAAGCAGUACCCUAAGUUCAACUUUGUUGGGAAGAUUCUGGGACCCCAGGGGAACACAAUUAAGCGGCUUCAGGAGGACACUGGCGCCAAGAUUUCGGUGCUGGGAAAAGGGUCCAUGAGGGACAAAGCUAAGGAGGAAGGCCUGCGAAAAAGUGGCGAGCCCAAAUAUGCGCACCUGUCCAUGGAGCUGCACGUCUUCAUCGAGGUGUUCGCCCCCGUGCCAGAGGCCUACCUGCGCAUGGCCCACGCCAUGGAGGAAGUCAAGAAGUUCCUGUUCCCGGAUAUGAUGGAUGAUAUCUGCCAGGAGCAGUUUAUGGAGAUGAGCUACCUGAACGGGGGUCAGGAGGCCGGGAACAGGGGCAGAGGAGGCCCACCAGUCCGUGGACGUGGAGCUCCACCGCCGCCUUCACCUGGGGCCAGGGGCCGAGGAAUGGCACCACGUGGAGGUGCCCCACGAGGGGGUCCAGCCAGGGGCGGAGCCACUAGGGGGGGCCCCUCAGGGCGCGGCGGACCCCCGGCACAGCCUGCCAGAGGCGGAGCAGCUACCCGCGCCAGGCCCCCUGCACCCGGGCCCCAGAGGAUGCCCCCGUCACACCCCCCAGCACCCGAGCCCUAUGAAGAAUACACCUAUGAAGAAAGCUACGCAGAGCCUACAUAUGAAACGUAUGACAACUACUACACUCAACCACAGGCAGAACCCGAGUACUAUGACUACGGGCACGGGGAAGCCCAAGAGGCCUACGAGCCAUACGGUCAGGAUGACUGGAACGGAAACCGGGCCUCUGGCGGUGGAAAAGCCCCCCAAGCGAGGUCAACCACCAAAGGGCCGUACAGGGAACACCCUUAUGGAAGAUACUGAAAUGGGCAAAGAGGAAGUUCAUAUUAAACACGUUGCCCUGACAACCUACUGUCUCCUAUGGCAGCUCUCGCUUUAAGCACCCAGACAAAAGCAAUAAAUUAAUCGUGGCCAGAGAAAGAUGAUGGAAAGACAUAAGCACAGCUGUCUUUGCUCAGGGACUGUCUGCAGAACACCCUUAAUGGAGGGAGUCGCUCCAACAGUAUGGCGCACAGUGGCCUCAACAAAAAUGUGAAGGCCCUCUCCGAGUCUGGAGACAGUGGUGGAGAAAACCAGUGCUAUCUGUGAAGACCAAAGUCUGCCCCCUUCAAAAUAAUGCAGUACCAAAAAAAACAUCCUUUAAUUAAUUCUCUUAUGAUUACAUCCUGCCAUUGAUUGAUUGGUUGUAGUAUUUAUUGAUGGUAGCUAUCUGAAAUUCAGAACCACCAUCUUAUUCAUCUUAACUGCCUGCAAGGAUACAAUGAGCUCCAUAAUGUUUGGGGCAUAUUAAUGUUAUCUGAAUGAAGGUAAUUGUUUUGUGCUGCGCAUAUUCUUUGCUUGCAGUGAUUGUGCUAAAUGUGACCCAUAGACAUCACCAGGUCCUGAGCAUCUUCUCUGAUGCUCUGCCAGGCCUUUAUUGCAGCCAUCUUCAGCUCUUGUGUGUUUCGGGGGCUAGUUGCCUUUAAACUUUCUCUUCAGCAUAUGAAACGCAUGUCCCGUUGGGUUCAGACCAGAUGAAUGAUUUGGAUCAAGAAUUUUCCCGGUUUUAGCUUUGAAAAAAUGUGUUUAGGAUCAUUGGGCCUCAUGCAAGAACAUGUUUGUGUACUUAUCGUUAAUUUCUCUUUGUGCAGAAGGCUAGUACAAGUGUGCCACGUCGGAUUCAACAAACAUUCUGAAUGACAAUGCCAUGCAAGGCUAGGCGUGUCCAAAAAAUAUAUUGCCUGAAACCUUCAAGAUGUCAUUUAUAAUACUGUACUCCUGGUGGCUUCCAAUGGAUAGAUGGUCAAUGGGGUCAACAAGAACGAGGGAUGUAGUCGGCACUUGAUUAUUGUUAUUAUUUUUAUUUAUAUAUAUAUUUUUAAAUCUUAACUGUAGCGUGGCCCAGUACCUGUGGCAGCCAUAUGUUGUCAACUCAUAACCGCCCCAUCACCAUAUUUCACAGAUGAGGGGGUUUGCUUUGGAUCUUGGAUCUUGGCUUCCACAUUUUGCUCUUGUUCACUUCAAUACAAUUUAAUCUGUUCUGUCCACUAGGCUUUUUUCCAGAGUUCUACAGGAAGGAGGUAACAUGGUCAUCCUGUUUUUCAGAUAACUAGGGGUUUUCACCCUACAAUGUAGCCUCUGUAGUUCUGUUUGAAGUUAGUAGUCACUGCACAUCCAUGCCUGUCUGCUGGAGAGUGUUUCUGGUCUGUCGGCCAGGUGUUUGGGUGUUUUUUUUCAGUAUGGUGAGAAUUUUUCGGUCAUGAAUCGUAGAGGUCUUCCUUGGCAUACCAGGCCCUUUUUUGAUUACUUAACACAUCCCAAGUGCCCUCUUUCUUAAUGAUUUUCUAUAGUUUAUUUUGGGAAGCCUCAGGUUUGGCCUAUGUCUCGACUGUUUAUUUCCCCAUUAUUUUUCAACCUAAUGGCUUCCUUGACUUUCAUUGGCCCUGGUCCUUGAACAGGUCACUAAUCAGAAACUCAUGUGAAGCCAUUUGUCCCAACGAUUAUGGUACUCUGAAAUGGGAAACCAUAGAGCUUUCAUUACAAAACUAAAAUUGGCAUACAGCCGACAUCAAGGAAAACGUCAGUCCCAAAUUAUGGAGCUCACUGUAUAUGCCUAUUUUUGCAUUGUGUUUGUUCUGCCUUACUACCGAUAAUUUUAAACUAUUUUUCCGCCACAAUUUUGUACAUGAGGGAAUUUACAAGUUGAAUUUAAAUGCUAUCCUGUUCCAAUGACUGGUUCAAGGUUCUGUUACCCUCAGAAUUAAUUGCUAUGGUAAUGGUCUGGCUUUGUUCUGUUGACAGUCAGGUGGAGAGGGGAAGGGUAAGCUCAAUGAAAAUGCUGCCCGCAUCCACAACCUUCAGAUGGUCUGUGUCUGUGGUUGGUGCCGUUAUGUAAAAGGUUACCGUUAAGGCACAUGCACUUAUAAACUGUAAGCCCCUCCAUCUGUAAGCCCCCCCAAUCACCCAGAUGUUUUUUUCAUGAGAAAUCAUUUGCAGUCUUUGGCUUGCAGGGCACACGCAUAUACACGCGGUGAGGACUUCUGCCUUUCUACAAAUUGAAUUCAGGCUUGCCAGUCCCACCACUGCGCUACACAGGUAAUGCUGAUCACAGCGUUUGAAGCUGGGCUUUGCGGUAUAAUGUUCAGCGCAAAUCGCUCAUAGCUGUAGAUUUAAUAAGUGUUAGCCUCUGCCUGGGCUCCUUUUAACGAUUGGAAAUCUGUGAAGCGCUCUGUAAUGGGCACAAAUGCAAUGAAAAUCCCUAAAAGCCGAUAAUGGGAGAAUUCCAUUAGUGUGUCGUUGAAUGAAAUAAAGCACUUCAGCGGUAUAUGGUGUGACGAGGCUAAGAUGUGCCAUUUGACGGGGUCAUGUUUUUACUAGCUUGCAUCUGGGUUGCUGGUACAGGAUUAGUAUAGUACAAAUGAUAAAAAUAAAAUUGGUAAAAAGUAAAAUUGUGGUGUUUGAUGAAAGUAAAAUUGCUGCUGACUAUCACAUGGAGAUGCUGUGGUUUCUCAAAGGGUGGCUGCCUGUGGAAUUACUGCCUUAAAUGUGUUUUGCUCCCUCCGUGGGUUAAAUGGAGAGGGCCCGUUUCGAGCCCAGGCCUGUAACGGCACAUUCAGGCCCUGCCUUUGGGAAAGCAUGGUUGUUCAGCUGUGUCUACAUUCCUCAGUCACAAUAGUCAGCAUGAUGAACCCAUGGCCACACGGGUUGUUAGGUUCUGCAUUCAAAGUGUUCUGCCACUGCCAUUGGUCACAGCUUGUAUAUGUUCAAGAUGCUUGACUGCAGUUAAUUUGGUCUGGUCCAAUGAAUUGCCAAGGUUUCUAUUGAGUGGUUCUAUGGUCAUGAAUAUUCAUGAACAGUUGCAACGUAUUUGAUGCUAGAAUGAUGGAAUCCACAGCACAACGGUUUUUCUAAUUAAUAUUCAUACGCAUAUGUUAUCCUUGGGCUUCAGAAAAUACCCUUUGGCAGGGCCAGAAGUAGAUGUAAUGACUUGUAAGAGCAGAAUCUUUUUGUUUUUGUUGUAUGCGAAGGUUGUGUAGGAACAGAUGUAACACAAGACCAAGGACAGAUCUGAUAAAUAAAUGGCUUCAGCCAGGUCUUUUGCCUUAAAUCUGCAGAAAUUCAGACCACUAAUCUAAACACAACGGUGACUGGAGGACUGUCUUUCCUACUAUCUUUUGAGUCUUAAAUAAAAUGAUGUAUUUUAUA